AUACAACUUUCAACAACGGAUCUCUUGGCUCUCGCAUCGAUGAAGAACGCAGCGAAAUGCGAUAAGUAAUGUGAAUUGCAGAAUUCAGUGAAUCAUCGAAUCUUUGAACGCACCUUGCGCUCCUUGGUAUUCCGAGGAGCAUGCCUGUUUGAGUGUCAUGUAUCUCUCAGCCCCCUUGGAUUUUUUCA
rnacentral:rRNA from 1 species